rnacentral:lncRNA from 10 species
GUGGCACAUGAUGCCUACUCCUCCUGCACUCAACCGCCUCACCCCUGCACUGCAGGACUCACACCCUUCCUUCCUGGGCAGAAACAGCCCAGAGGAGCCUGGGCUGAUCCCAGCGCACCCUCGGCCAUGACCUUGGGAAAAUCCUCUGUGCAGCCAGCAAGCAGAUAGCCAUUGUCCCACUAAUCCGAAUAACCGAUGCCAGGCUCUGUGCAGAUCAUCUCCUUGAACUUGCCCAUCCCCUCCUCCAGGCAGUCUGCCCAGAUAGCUGCUGCCUCAGGCUGAUUUAGGGACCUUCUAUGGGCUCCUCCACGGCCUGUGCACGUGAGGGGAGUCCUCAUAUUAGAUCCGUUUUACAGAGGGGCAAACUGAGACAUGGAGAGGAUCAGGACUAGCCCAAGAUCACACAGCCCCAGGUGGUAGCCGCCUGGCCCCAGAGGCUGUGGGUUUAAAUCAUUGAGCAUUCCUGCCUACCUGUGCCAGGCACCGAGGGGCAUGGGGACAGUAGUGACCAAGGGCAAACUCAACGCCCACCCUGGUGAGGCUUCCAUGAGCAAGUGCAUACAUUCAAGGGACCACCUGUCAUUCUUGCUUGCCACAUCAAAGGGCGCAGCCUGGGAUCCCAGCCUCGUUCUGCCCCACCCCCUCAAUGCUUGGCAAACACCCGACUGCAUCACUCCUUCCAAGGUCAAGCUGUGUGGACCUUGGGCAAGUCACUUGACCUCUCUGGGCUGUCUUUUUCUUAGUCAUCAAUAUGCCUUGCAAGUCAAAUCAACCAUAUGACUUACUUGGCUGGAACCUCCAAACUAUCCAUAGAGGUUGACAGAUGAUCCCCAUCAUCCAAAUGAGGAAACUGAGGCUCAGAGAGGAGGGAGCUGCUUGCCCAAAGUCAGGAAGUGCCUUAA